rnacentral:lncRNA from 1 species
CCAGAGAACCUGUGUCUACUUCUGAGCGCUGGGAAUGAAGGAGAUCUCGCAAAAGGGGAGGAAGGCCUUCACCGCUGAACCCGAGCUUUGCCAUUUCGAAGUGCUGAGUCACCUCGUCCUCUCAGGGUCAGACACUUUCACGCAGGAAACGUCCUGCAGAGCACCGCAGCGGGAGCACCGAGCUGGUAUGUCCCUAUUUGAAUGACAAGACGGGAGAAGAGACAGCGCAUAUCUAUGCUAACUUAUUUUUCCUCAUAAGCUGGUGUUUAAGAGACUUCUGACAGCAGAAAUCAGCUUUCUGGUUGGUAAUUUUGUUGAACAGUAUUUUCUUCCCAUGGCUGGAGAUGACUCAGUAGUUAGAGUCAGUUGCUCUUCCAGAACAGCAAGGUUCAAUUCCCAGCGUGUGCACGCGCGCGCGCGCGCACACACACACACACACACACACACACACACACAUACACACGCCGGGGGCUCACAACUGUAGCUCCAGGCGUCAAGUUUUCUGGCACUAGGCAUGCAUGUGUGCACAGAUGAAUGUGCAUGGAACACACCCAUGUACGGCUCCUGUAAAAUGAACAUGACUGUCAAAGUGUUGUCUAGUGGUGUUUACAGGGGAAGGUGCUCUCCGCUUAUUUUAUUAUUUUUAAAUCGCUUGAUUCUCAAUUUAGUUUAAAAAAAAAACCUAAUACAAAAAGAAAAAAGAAUACAAGAAUAAAUUAGAUCUUAAACCAGCUCAACUUUUAGGACAUCUGUUUUUGUAUUUUGAACAUGUCAUCGAGUGUACCGGAAGUAUUACUGCUGUAUUAAUGAGGGGAAGUGGGUAGUGGACAGCUGGGGAGGGUGGGAGGGCAGGAAGUUACAGUUUAGGAUUUUGGGGGAAUGUAGAGAGCAUAAACACACAAGAUUGAGCAACCUGGCCAGGUGGGGUACGCACGCCUUUAAUUCUAGCACUUGGAGGCAGAGGCAGGUGGAUCUCCUGAGUUCCAGGACAGCUGGAGUUUCCCAGAGAAACCCUGACUCGAGAAAAAAACAAAACCAAGAAAAGACUGAACAAUUUGUAUAUAGAAUGGCUUUACUGUUCUUUUAACAGAAAACUGUCUCCCAUCAUUUGGGGGUCCUCCAACAGGAAGCGGCUUGGUCUUUCCACAGGGUGGUAAUUUAUUCUAGAACCGAUGUGCCAGCGUUUCCUUCUGUGUGCUUUGAGUAGGAGCAGGAACAACGGAUCUCUCCAAGCAUGGGCAGACGGAGAGCUGCAACCCUUGGACCAACCAACGCCUGCCAGUGGGCGCCUGCAUCCCACGCCUGCAUCCCGCGUGCAGGCUACUGGCAGGUGCUCUGUGUCUCACUCCAUCUUUACCUGCCCUGUAAAGGAGGAACUGUUGUUUUUAGUCUCCUGGAGCAGCCGCGCCUUCCCACAGCACUCAGACUUGAGGAAGCUUAAGAAGCUGAGACCAGAGAGGGCGAUGUCCACCUUGGUGACGAAGCACUCUAGAGGCUGCCGCCACACUUAAAAAGUGACCAGUCACCAACAACUCAUCUUAAGUACAGGAAGAAUGCCAGCAGCUGAAUGAAAUUCUUGCUUUCCCUGGUGAACAACGAAGGGGAAGGGAAUGGAGUGUGGUGAAAGAGAGGGCAGAAAGGCUGCCAGUGUCCUCUUCAUCCCUGCC